AGUCCUAUGCGACAGUUUAGAGCGAUAGCAUCAACGUUGCGUGCGAGAAGCUUCGUUCGCGUCACUGCUUACUUUUUGCAUUCCAGCUUAGGAAAUCGGAUGUCUAAGCUAUUGAAAUGGUUUGCGCGCCACCAUUUUACAUGGGAAAAGUCGUAGCAAAGAUUUAAAGCCGGAAAUUUUAAUUUGAAAGACGAAGAUCGCGACGUGCAUCAAGAAAGUUCGACGAGGAGGUGAGUUGGAGGAAUCGCUCGACGAAAAUGCGACCCAGACGUAAGAAGAAUUGGCAGAAAGAGGCAAUAAUUUACCCUGUUCUCCCCGCAGCGCGUGCCGUCAGCCACUGGUUCCAUCGUGGACACGCAACCCUUUCCCGGAAUGGCGCACCUCAGGCUCUCGCACUUCUGAAAAUGUAACGCAAUCGUAUCGGUCAGGGUGCAGAUGGUUUCGUGUCGAUCGCGAUAUCGCGCAGCGAUAGCCAACCACCGAGUCGUUGUGCCGUGCUUAUCUCUCAACGAUUCACGAUCGCGUGGUGUAUAUGUGUGUGUGUAUAUGUACUUUUCUAAAAGGAUAAGGCAGGUCGCGCACAUGAGGUAAAAGCUUACCGUGGCGGACGACAGAUGGAGCCUCUUCACGGGCGACAUCUAUCGUGGUUUAUCUCGUUAAUAACGACGAGAAUACAUUUGUAGAGUAAAACUUUCGUGACUCGAUUUAUAUUAUGAUUUUGUUGUUGAAAGUGGACACUUGAAGGCAACGGAAUGGAAAUUAUCAUCGUUGAUAAUUUAUUUCCGUGUUUUUAGAUUUGAAGAAAAUCUUGAGAGUUUUUAAUCUUAAAUUCAAAUACUUUUAGUGAAGAUUAAUAAUUGGAUAGUUAUUCUCUAUGAUGUAAUGUUUCUAUUUGAUGUGAAAAAUAGUUACAUGUCUCGAGACGUUUUAUACGAUAGUGAUCGGUUGGAAAGUUUUAAUUAUUUGGAAAGGUUGAAUGUCGAAAGAGAUUUUCGAAAAUUUUAUCUUUAAAUGUAUUCAUAGUUUAUUAUCGUUAUUAUUCGAUGAUGCUUGGUUAAGUAUCGCAUGAUUAAGAUCGAAAAAUAUCAAAUAUACGAAGAUGAGUGUCUUGAUGAAUUAUUGUUGCGUUUUUUCAAUUUUCUUACGAUUAAAUUGCGAAUGUUUAUGUUACAUUUAAAUUUAUAUGGAUAUGACUUUUUAAAUGGUACUGGAAGAGAAGAAAGAAAAGUGUUUGUGUUGUAUAUUGCGUGUUAUAUACUAUCUUUAUUUUGAAUUCCAUUGUUGCAUCUAUUAAUGGAAUUAAGUUUGAUAUAAACUUGUAAAUCUAAAUCGAAUUCAAUAAAAAAGAUGUAAUUUCAUAGAAUUUGAACAUUUACCUCUGCAAUAUUUGAUAUUACAAAAGAUAUAAGUACAGAAUUUUUUAUUCCAUUGUUUUAAAUCAGGCAAUUCGAACGAGAGAGAAUAGAUAAGAUAUUCGAUGAGAUUGAAUAAAUCGAAGUUAUUUAUACACACGAAAAAGGAAUGUGCAGAGAGAGAGAGAGAGAAAGAGAAAAAUUUUCAAAGUUUCCAGGCAACUGUUUCAAACUUAAAAAUUUCGAACAUGAAAACUUUAAUAACAAAUCUAAAGUUUGCAAAAACUUCUAAACAAUUCUUAAUCGAGGGAUUAAUUUUCAAAUACUUUCUACAUUAAAUUUCUUACAUAACAAUAUAAAAUAAAUUGCACUUUUAGCGUUAUUAAACGAAACUAUUGUUAUACGAAAACAAAAUACAUUAAAAGCUGUUCGUUCUUAUCGACGAGAAAGACAUAAUUUCUCGAAAGAUCGCCUAUACAUAUAAACACACGAGAAAUAACCAUCCUCGUCCAUGUUUCUCUAACAAUUUCACCCAUCGAGAAACGUCGCAAGUAAUUUCUUUUCUUCAUAAAUAUACGAAUAUAACUUGAUGAACACAUUUUGAUGAAAGCGCGAAACGGUUCGUUCAAUUACCUUUCUUUUCUGCUUGAGGCGCGAAUGGGAGGGGGGAGAAGAGGUGGUGGGGGAAAAAACGUAAUCUUUGUUUCGCGUCGCGUGUGUGUAUAUAUGUGCAUAUAUAUAUGUGUAUGCGCGUGUAAAUAUCGAAGAACAACAAGGGAUAACGCGUUUAUUGCAGCGCGGAUGGAAAACAAUGCUCGUUCGACAAAUAAACGAGGGGUGAACAACCGCAACACGGGUGAAUUUUCGUAGUAAGUUCGUUAACGUAACGCGUGUCAACCCUUCUCGACUACCCCCUCCCCUCCUAUGUUUUCGCGUUUAAUUAUAAAAUUACAAUUGGGCUCCCGUCGUGUUUGGUCCAUCAUCAAUGAUUUCGAAUGACGAAAUAAUGAGACCGUUACAACGGCGUUUCAUUUUGCACUCUCCCUCUCCCUCUCUCUCUCUCUUUUUCUCUCUCUCGUUAAAUUAAUCCGGCGCACGGACGCGAUGCUCGAAUACUUAUGAAAACAUCGAUCACCGGACGAGCCUGCAUCGUGGAAUUAGAUUAAUUAAUUAAUGGACAAAUUGAACGGGGUGUCCCGUUAUUUUUGCCGAGAUUUUCAAACAAACGGUUCGUAGUUUAAAAAUCGGUGGAAAUGCGAAAACAAAAGUAUCGAUUUUCUUCCCUUCGAGGAUACGGGAAGGCGAAUUAAAUUAAAAAUUGAACAACAAUGGAUGGAGAGCGUAACGGAUGUCAUGAUCUUGGGAGAGCGUAGGCAUAGGUAUGGCUUGCAUGUAUUUUUCCUAGCUCGCAAUGAAAUAUGAUGGAAAUAUAAAGAAUAUGGGAGUUCCUCGCGAAGGCGCAUAAUGUAACGUGGAAAAUAAGGUAGAGACGGCGGAGCCGCGUAAUGUGAUAUGGAAAAAAAAAAAAAAAUUGGCGGAGUCCGAGGAGAAAUGAAGGUAAGGAAAAAAGAUUUAAUGAAAUUUGUUCCCUCACCACUUCCAAAUCGCAGUGGCGGGCCUCGAGACCGUACUCUAUUCGACACUGGUCAUCCGCGUUGUACAUCACCCCUGGAAGAAGUUCCGUGCUUGGGAACUCGUAAUUUUGCUGCUUGUCCUCCAAACAGAAUCCUAAAUCUGUUCUACGAGAAUAAUCGUAUGGAUAAUUAUGUUUAAUUUCUAAAUAUAAGCAUGUGAUUUUUUUUUUUUUUUACAUAUUUUUGAGGUUAUGACGAGAUGUUACAUCAGAGAGAUGUUUGUGAUGUUUUUUUUAACGCGUUAAGCAAAUAGUAAGAUGUAAAAAGUACCGCCAAGUGGAAAUCCAAUUUCAUCGUGAACGGAAUUUUGAACCGAUUUCUCGGCCAACAAGUUUCCCUGCUACUUUAAAAUGAAUGGAAAGCAAACUCAAAUCGAUUUGAUAAAUUUUUGUUGGCGCGAAACGCCACGGGUUUCUUACUCGAUGUACAAUUUCAGCGACUCUUUCGAACACACGGACCACUUUCUCGUGAUGUACAAGUUACCGGGAUGCAUGACCGUCGUUUCGAUGUAAUUUUCGUCGUGAUGAAUAAUGCCUGGACACCCAUUUUCCUCUUUGACGUCGUGCGACAUACCUAACCUAUGUAAAUGAAUUCAAACCGUGGAAAUAAAUAAUUCGAAUCGAUAGGGAUAAAAACGAAUACGCUAUUUUAUCUAAUUCGAAACACUCGGUUAAAGAAAGAUUUAAAUUAUUUAAACCGAACAUUUUUAAAUUAAUUUAGAAUCUCUGAUAUAAGUUUUUCGUAAUUUAAAACUCGAUUAAAAUUAGACAAAAUUUAAACCGCUAUAAUUCUAAAGAUAACGAUUCCCGAUUAAUAAACGAAAGAUCGUUAGAAGCGGGAAACCUUGCUCUUGAAAACGCUUUUUAAUUUAUUUCGAUACGACUUCUGGUUCCCGAAAUAUCAUCGUGUAAGGAAGAAACCGAAUUAAAAUUAGAAAAAAUUUGAAUAGCUAUAAUUCCGAAGAUAACGAUUCUCGAUCGAUACACGAAAGAUCGUCAGAAGUGCGAAACCUUCCCCUUCAAAAUGCUUUUCGAUUUAUCUCGAUACGACUUCCGGUUCUCCAGAUAUCAUCGUGUAAAGAGAAAGGUAAUUUUUUAAGCGUUUACAAUCUCCAUCCUCGUCUCCUACUCGGACCUCUCGCUCGCAUCUCGUCUCACCGACCUAUUCCAAACUUCAGACAAGUGACAGACGCGAUUCCGCAGGAAGAAUGCAGGUCACCCGACUCGUAAUCUCUGUAUUAUCUUCAUGAAAACUUUAACUCCUCGUAUCUCGGCAACGAAUCGAGAUAUCGUGAUAAAACAAAAAGCAACUCGAAGGAUAUAAUUUUCUCCAUUUCUCGAAGUCUCGUUCGAUUUAUUAAUCUUACCGUGGAAGCAAUUAAAAUACGACGUAUUUUUAUAUCUCAACAUUUUUCUUAGCUGCAUAAAAAUCCGCGGUUCAUUUAUACCUUUUUUGGAUCGAUCUUUUUCCACGUUAUAUUUCUUUGUAUUUUACACCUCGCGUUAAUGGAAGUGGCGUCUCGUGAUACUUCUUAUCUCUCCGUAUGUCAUAUUUUUUAACAUUUUUUCCCCUUCCUACAUUUCUAGAUACGAUGCCCUACAUUACACGUUUCUGGAGGGGGAAGAGAGAAAAAGUGGGGGAAAGAAACAAGUGGAGGAGCGAAACACUUACGUGUGGCCGAGAUGAUGGGCGAUGUGGUAUCCCGUGUGUAGGCCAACGUCGUUUAUAAUGGCAGCGCCUUUCAAAGGGUCGCAAGUUCCAGCGAUCGUCGAGGUACCGGUGAAACCACACACGCUCGGUGAAUCGCAGAUGUUACUCCUGACCAAAUGAAUGAGGGUUCAACCUCGUUCGAGGUUAAGUUGGGACUCGCGUAACAUUAAUUCGAUCUCUAGCUGUACUUUGUAAUCAGAAUGGCACAGUCGUGGUGAUUCGGGUGUGUAUCGUCCCCAGGGUUAAUCAUUCGUUGCCACCGUUGGAAAUAUUUCAGGGUAACGUUCGAGUCUUUAGUUAUAGUUAAGCUCAUCUGUAUUCAACCAACAAUAUUAUUCAAUAAUAACAGUUCAAAACGUUCCAAUCAAUAUAUACACACACGUAUACACACACCUCAUUUUCUUGGACGAGCAUUCUUAUAAUCCUGACAAUGGUCAACUCCAUAGUUAUUCCUAAACUGACGUCGUGUAGCAACGCCGCGGCCUGAAACAAGCUUAAAAUUAAUAAUUUCCAUCGUACUUGUUUAUCACGAAAAAUAGUGAAAGAAUAAAUCUAUUUUCCCCUCUUCUUCCAAUAAACCUUCCAUACUCGAACAGACUAUUUUUCCAAACAUAACAUCCUUCCCCUAUUUUUAACACUUAACGGAAGGGAAUUUAGGGUGAAACUAGGGCAAAGUUAGGUACCAUGUUGAGCAGGGUGAGCACGUAAUUCUCGACGUCGAAAUCCUUGUGAUAAUCGAGAACGGUCUUGUCGAGUACCAGCAACAGUUCCAUCGUGUGCGAAUUGGCCUGGUUCUUAGGUGGGUGGCGUUUCUGCGAACUGAAAGCGCGCUUGGCAAUGGUUUUGGCCAUAUUGCCGGUGACAUUACAGAGAAUCUCGGCGUUCCUCCCGAAUUCGUCCGGCCUCUUUUUGUAGACGACAUGCGGGUGCUCCGUUUCUUUGGUAAAGUCGUGACCCGCCACCGGCUCGAUCGUGUACCACGAUCGUUUCGUUCUAAUAAAUCCGGCCUGGAGAUGAGAACACCGAGAUUCCUUCCAGUCAGAUUUAUCUUUACGCCACGAUAUUUCGAGUUCGAGUCGUUUGAAAGCUUUAUCCGCAACCACGCCGUUACUCCCCCUUAAUCGAUUUAAAAAAAUCUUAUAUAUGUAUAUGUGUAUAUGUAUGUGUAUUAGGUCGGAAAGAAAGUUCUUGUUACCUCGAUUUUAUUUUCGAUUAAGUUGCAUUCACUUUGUACGUAUAAUUUUAAAUUUUCCAUUUUUCGAUUUCUGAAAAUGUGACGCUAAUUUUAUCUUCAAAUUUUCAGUUUUUCUGAUUUUUUAGGGUUGGUUGGAAACGAUAUCAACUUGUACCGUUCGGAAACGUUAAGGAACAUAUUUAAAAAAUUGAAGAUGCUUCGAAUCAACGAGUUCAUCGCCUCCAGAAUUUUUCUGCAAAGUUGCAUCGACCGCAAUGAUUUAUUUUGAUUAACAAAAUAUUUUUCUCGGUUUCAAACGACUGGUCGAUUAAAAAAAAGUUGGACUAACCAAGCCGUAACAAGUGGACAGGGCGCUGUCCCCCGAAUGACCGUGGACGCGACCGAGAUAGUGACACUGCGAGUCGCGCAUCCCCUUCAACUUCGCAUCCUUCAACAAAUUAUCGUUGCUCCCGCUUUCUGCAGACCCCCGAUGUUCCUCGAUAACAGCGCCUGUGUGAAAUCAAACGUUCACUCCUUGGUUCGAAUCCGAUCCGAUUUCGAAAAUUUUUUUGAAAUUGAAAUUUCAAGGGGAAGAGAAAAUUGAAAAUGGAUCAAGAAGAAGAAGAAUAUUUUCUUUUUUUUUUUCAACUGAAAUUAAUACAAACACACACGUUGUUAUCUUAAUUUUCAACUCGCCUGGGGCAACGAGGCUGGGAUUCGGCCGUAGCUCGAGAUGAUAAUCCUUCUGGCCGAUUUUCAAACGGUAGUGAACCGCAUCGUCCUCCACUCUGCCCCCUCCUCCCCGAUCCGCCGGGGCGUAGAGGGAGCGCUUGAAGUGAUGAGGUAUUUGAUGCGACACGAACUUUCCAUCCGAUCCGACUUUCCUCGGCACCACGAUCUCGUAUCCCGUGUCACGCCCUUGAAAAAUCAAAAUUUCGUUAUAGUUAUGGAGAGAGAGAGAGAGAGAGAGGAUUAUUCUGCACUAUUUUGUAAGAACACCAAUUUUUAUUAAUUUUGUGGAGGAGGGAGUUUGGAAUCGUUAAUAAGAGAACGUUUCAUCUUUGGAAUACCAUUCUUUCGCUUCGUUAAGAUCAGAGAUUCUUAUUUUGUAAUAGGAAUCAGGGAAAUGGAAUAAAGAAUUAUUCGGGAAAUUUGGAAGGAAUGUUGUAUUAUAGGAUGAGGUUAGGAUGGGUUGAACAUGUUUUUGGAAGGUUAUUAUAGGUUAGAUGGUGAGCACUUUUUAUUCUGAAGAGAAACGUGUAAUGGAAUAAAGAAAAUUUGGGAAAUGGAUGGGUUGGGAAUUGAACACGUUUUUUCCAGAUUAUUGUAGAAUUAUGAUGAUCUUUUUAUUUUAUAAUAGGAGACAAUCAAUGAUAAAGAAAUGUAGUAAUGAAAUGAAGAAUUAUUAGUGAACUUUGGGGAAUGGUGUUCUGUAGCAGACAAUCAAUGAUAAAGAAAUGUGUAACGAAAUAAAGAAUUAUUAAUGAAAUUUGGGGAAUGCUGUUCUAUAUAUGUUUUAUAGCAGACAAUCGAUGAUAAACAAAUGUGUAAUGAAAUAAAGAAUUAUUAGUGAAGUUUGAGGAAUGCUCUUCUAUAGAAUAAUAUGUUUUAUAGCAGAUAAUCAAUAAUAAACAAAUAUGUAAUGAAAUAAAGAUUUAUUAAUGAAAUUUGGGAAAUGGUGUUUUAUAUAAUGUUCUAUAUAUGUUCUAUAGCAGACAAUCAAUAAUAAAGAAAUGUGUAAUGAAAUAAAGAAUUAUUAGUGAACUUUGGGGAAUUCUGUUUUAUAGAAUAAUAUGUUCUAUAGCAGACAAUCAAUGAUAAAGAAAUGUGUAAUGAAAUAAAGAAUUAUUAAUGAAAUUUGGGGAAUGUUGUUCUAUAGGAUUUGGGUUAAGAAUUGAAUAUAUAUUUUGAAGAAAUGAUGCAUUGUUUUUAUAGAAAAACAUAUAAUAAAAUAAAAGAAUUACAUGUAAAAUUUUGAGAAUUCUGUUUUAUAGCUAUAAAUGAUGAUAUUAAGAUAAAAUAAUAAUGAUGGACUUUUCUUAUUUUAUGUGAUACAUUAGAUAACCAAGAAAAUUGUUUUAGAAAAAUGUAUAAUAAAGAAUUAUUUGUAAAAUUUGGAUUUUUUAAAGAUGAAUAGCGAAUUGAAAUUGAAGUUUACAAUAAUUGACAUAUAUUUGACAUAUAAUUGACAUUAUACUUAUAUAACACAUUAUUAUUUUGCAUCGAUAUUGACACAAAAGUCAAAAUUUGCUUUUGUUAAAGGUACACGUUUCUAUCUUUAUACACCAUUUACCAAAAACAGCAAUAAUUAAUAAAUAACAAUCAAUCAAUCAAAUUAAUUCAACCUCUAAAAUUUGCAUUUUGAGUUGUAUCCAUUGUCAAUAAACGACAUAUCAUAAACCCCACUAAUCAUCUCCUAAAAAUUAAAAAUAAAAUGAUCAUUAAAAAAAAAAAAAAGAUACUUUUUGAAAGAAAUUUCUUUUUCAAACAAAUCAACGAUAAAUUCAUAAUUUCUUUCUCACUGUUACGCGCACAAGUAUAAAAGAAACACGGUAAUUAUCUUGAAAAAUUUCUGCCUGUAAAAAAAAAAUCCCUUCACGUCUCCGCUAAUUGAUCUUCGCGAGUUGCUACUGGAUUAAAGGAGGAACGUUAUUUAAAAUAUAUGAAGGCGAGGCCUCCGUUCCUUUCCUUAACAAAAGGGAAAGAUAGAUCAAAGAUAUCGAUGAGAAAUUUUCCCCGUCAUCGGUGGCCAGGAAAUUAAACCGUGAAGAGCACUUUUCGCGAUAAAGCGGAUUCAUUAGCGAGCGCGCCAUCCUCUCCCCUCUCCUCCCUUCCCUUCCCCCACCACAACAUUUUUCGUUAACUCGACGUCUUGAAGCGGUAGUAGGCCGCCGCUCCUCCAACGAGGCAUCGUUCGAUGCGUGGUAUCGAACUAACCGACACUCGCAAGCGAGUUGGUUAUGCGCAACAAACGUAAAUGUAUUUCCGUGGAAGAAACAUGUUGAAGGUAUGCGAGGCAAAGUUGGAUUUCUAUGCCCCGUUGAUCAGAGAGAGAAAGAGAGAGAAAAUUCGAUCCACUUGGUGAAAUUACUUACGAUAUUGGAAAUGUUGAACGCGGUUAUAUAUAUAUAUACGUACAAUCGUUGCUGAAUUAUUAUAAAUCGACUUUUGUUUGAUUCAAACUUGAUUAAAAUUUCAAUGUGUGUGUGUGUCGUUUUUUAAAGCAUAGAUUAUUUCUAAUCCAAUAUUUAUCUUAUCCAGUUUCUCGAAUUUUCGAUAAAAGUUUAAUUCCUGAUGAAAAUUUUAUUUAUUCAAGGAUUCCAAGUUCGAUCGUUUCCUUUUUUUUUCUUUUUCAAUUUAUAAUCGAAAUUCCAUCCGUUCUUUCGAAAACGGAUUAAUAAUUAAUAACCGAUAUAUAUAUCCAUUAUAUACGUAAUUUUUAUCGUUAUCACUCUUAUCUCCGCGCAAUCGAGCCUCAUUUCUAUAAAUGAAAUUUAACGAUAAAAGAAUUUAAUUUACUAUGGAAUUAAAUGUGCUAUUAACAACCUUUUGUAAUAAUUAUUCACGAAUAUCUUUGGCAAUCGUGUUGCACAAUAAUUUCGCGUUAAAUUCAAAUCUUCCAAACGUCGUGAAUAGGAUCAGCUAUUUGCGGAAGCUAGGAUCGGAAAGAUGCUCGACGUUUCAAAGGUAUUUAUUUUACGCCAUUUCUCCUGCUGCCGUUGAAGCAGAGGCGUGUAUAGGCUUUGACCGGAUUAUAACCUCGCACAACCGCGAGGUGUGAUCGCAAGUUUUAUUCGAGCGUGAUCCUUCACGUUUUUUUUUCUUUUUUUUUUUUUACCGCCAUAAUUGCAAUGCACACGUUUCGCGCGUAGGCGAUACGGAACAAAAGGAAGUGGAACUUUGUUCGCGACAGGACGUGAACUUUUUCAUUGAAAUAUCUCGCGACAAAUUCGCGAGUUGAACUUUUGCCAUAUCGAAACUGUAAUCGCCUUAGAGCCGGAACGUAAAAAAAAGUAGAUGCUAACGGAUGCUGUUUGGUGCGACCAAGAGAAAUAUUUCUACUUGCGUGAAAAUAUACCGUCGAUGAUUAAAUAGAAAAAAAAUCUUUUCAAUUUUGGAAACCAUAUUUUUAAUACAAUCUUAAAAUCUCUUCGAAAUUGUCUUAGAAGUAAAACACCAUUUAAAAAAAUAAUUUUUAUCCGAUUUCUUCGAAAUUAUUGCUUCGUAUACCACCGUAAUAUGCAAAUGUAUAUAGGAGGAAUGUAAUAUCAGAAUCGAUAUCGAAACUAGGAAACUUCGCCUCCAACCAUUUCCAAGAGUUACAAAUCCACUUAAAUACGUGCAGACGUUUCGAAUCUCUAUUUUCCACUCGGUCAACGGUUUAAUAACGUAUCAAUCGAUCGUUGAAGCGGGAACAUACGUUUAACAUGUGCACUCGAGCCAGAGUUAUCGAGGCACGAUCCAGUUCGCGGUCGAACGUCGAAAAAUGUAUUCGGAUCGCGGCCAAGAAGCAAGUUCCUCGGUUUCUCUGAGCUAACUUUUCCAGAGUUUGGAGGAGCGCGAACCUCCUCGAGAACAAGUUCUCGAGUGGGUUCGAGAAGGGAAAAUCGAUGGAGCGCCGAGCGUCGAAUGAACCGGGCGAACGAUCGUGUUAUCUAUCGACGAUUGACACGUGUCUCCCGCCAUAUUUCUUUUUUUUUUGCUUUCGAUUUCGUAAUUUUAUUUCGACACCGAAACAAUAAAAUCGAUCGUGCUGUUGUUACUCGAUGAUCGAUACUCGAGAUUAUUUUUCACUCCUUCCUUAAAUAUUAUUUUUACUUUCACGCGUCGAUAUUCAGCGUGGAGAGAUUUAGUCGAAUCGGUUGAAUUUAUUUAUUUUUUUUUUAUAAUAAUUUAUAAUAAUUCGAUCAUUGUAUAAUUGCAUUUAAUUUCAAUUGUACGAGUAUCUCAUAUAAAAAUAUUCAGAUAAUAAUCGUAAAAGAAUAUCUUUCUGAUGAUUUUUUUUCAAAUUUACAUUUUUUUUCCUAAAUAUUUUUGAACGAAAAUGAAAAUCGACGAUAAGGGAACCAAUAUCGAAGUGUUCUAUUAUUACCUAUAAUCAAUUGAACACGUGUCUCUCGCGAGAGCGCCAUUUUUUUCCCCUACCAAUAACCUUAUUCCUAUUUCAAAAACUAGAGAGAAGGAAAUGCUCUGUGCGCGAUACGAGCAUCGAACGAAUACGGAUGGUGAACAAUCGCAUUAUUGUUCAACGAUCGACGCGUUCUUUCUCUCUCUCUUUUUUUUCAAACUAACUUUAAAAACGCUAAGAGGAAAAGAAAAUCGAUGGAAUCGAUUGAACGGUCGGAUUAUUGUUCAACGAUUGACGCGUAUUUUUCUCCUUUUUUUUUUUUUUUUUUAAACCUUAUUUUUAUCUCGAUAACUUGACACUGGUAUCAAAAAAAAAAAAAAAAAAAACGCGUGGGAAACGCGUGGCAUUCGCGAUACGGAAUUUUGAUUUUCGUUAUUAUUCGAAGCAACGGUGCCAAUAGCGUUCUAUGACCGAUUUUUCCAGGUGGCGUUGUUGCAAAGCUUUUGUGUUACAGUUACACGAAACUAACCUAUGCGGCGCGACAAAAAUAAAACGAAAAUAUGCCACGGCGGAGAUAUGUUUUAAUUGCUGCUCCGCUUGUGUAUGUAUACGUGUAUAUUGGAACGCAUAAAGCUCGAGAUUAUACAAGCUAGCGGAUAAAUUUGAAUAGGGAAUACGAGGAUAAUAGAGGAACGUUGGCGAAAUAUUAAAAUAUAGCGUUAGAUGUACCGUAUAUAUAAAAUACCACCUUUUUCUAUAAUAAAUAUCCAAUUGUUGCUGCGACUUGAAUCUUAUCUUAUCUUAACGUUAAAUUAAAUUUAUGGUUAAAAUCGAUAUAUAUUAUUUAUGCAAGCGAUUUAAUAUUAGAUACGAAAAUUAUCCAUUUCCCGAUAAUUCGUAAAAAAUUAAAUUAAACUCCUCGAGAUGUGACGGAUAUAAAUGUACAUUUUGUAUGCGAUGUUUAUAUACAAAAAAAAAAUAAAUAAAUAAACACACA